GACGAACGCUGGCGGCGUGCUUAACACAUGCAAGUCGAACGGAAAGGCCCUGCUUUUGUGGGGUGCUCGAGUGGCGAACGGGUGAGUAACACGUGAGUAACCUGCCCUUGACUUUGGGAUAACUUCAGGAAACUGGGGCUAAUACCGGAUAGGAGCUCCUGCUGCAUGGUGGGGGUUGGAAUGUUUCGGCGGUUGGGGAUGGACUCGCGGCUUAUCAGCUUGUUGGUGGGGUAGUGGCUUACCAAGGCUUUGACGGGUAGCCGGCCUGAGAGGGUGACCGGCCACAUUGGGACUGAGAUACGGCCCAGAAUCCAACGGGAGGCAGCAGUGGGGAAUAUUGCACAAUGGGCGGAAGCCUGAUGCAGCAACGCCGCGUGCGGGAUGACGGCCUUCGGGUUGUAAACCGCUUUCGCCUGUGACGAAGCGUGAGUGACGGUAAUGGGUAAAGAAGCACCGGCUAACUACGUG
rnacentral:rRNA from 1 species